GGAAGGUAGCGUACUGGGUACAAAGCGGUUUUGAACGCCGUGCUCUCUUAACUGGGAAUAGUUCGAUUCUAUUACCUUCCGCCA
rnacentral:tRNA from 1 species